rnacentral:rRNA from 1 species
GCAAAUGCCAACAGGAUUAAAAAAGACGAGAAGACCCUAGAAACUUAUAGUUGAUUUUGCUGGGGCGGCAGAAUUGCAUAUAACCAAUUUUAAUUUACGUGAAGCGACGCAGAAAGAAAAAGUUACUCUAGGGAUAACAGCAUAAUUUUAAUAGUUUGUGACCUCGAUGUUGGACUAGGGAUGUUACCUUCUAGAAGAAGGUAAUUAUGGCUCUGUUCGAGCCCUUAGCCCCUACGUGAUCUGAGUUCAAACCGGACG